rnacentral:rRNA from 1 species
CCUACGGGUGGCUGCAGUGAGGAAUAUUGGUCAAUGGCCGGAAGGCUGAACCAGCCAUGCCGCGUGAAGGUCGGUGCCCUAUGGGCGUUAAACUUCUUUUGUUAGGGAGCAAUAAUGGUCACGUGUGGCCAGACGAGUGUACCGUACGAAUAAGCAUCGGCUAACUCCGUGCCAGCAGCCGCGGUAAUACAGGGGAUGCAAGCGUUAUCCUGAUUUAUUGGGUUUAAAGGGUGCGUAGGCUGUGAGGUAAAUCAGGGGGUAAAUGCCCCGGCUCAAAGGGGUGAAGUGCCAUUGAUACUGGCUGGCUGGAAUGCGGAUGACGUGGGAGGAAUGUGAGGUGUAGCGGUGAAAUGCAUAGAUAUCACACAGAACACAGAUUGCGAAGGCAUCUCACUAAGCCGCGAUUGACGCUGAUGCACGAAAGCGUGGGUAUCAAACAGGAUUAGAUACCCUGGUAGUC